GACAGAGGUUGCAAACGUUGUUCGGAAUUACUGGGCAUAAAGCGCACGUAGGCGGUCCGUUAAGUCAUGUGUGAAAUCCCCCGGCUCAACCGGGGAAUUGCGCCUGAUACUGGCGGGCUAGAGGUCGAUAGGGGUGAGCGGAACUCCAGGUGGAGCGGUGAAAUGCGUAGAUAUCUGGAGGAACACCGGUGGCGAAAGCGGCUCACUGGAUCGAAACUGACGCUGAGGCGCGAGAGCGUGGGGAGCAAACAGG
rnacentral:rRNA from 1 species